AAGUCGUAACAAGGUUUCCGUAGGUGAACCUGCGGAAGGAUCAUUACCGAGUUCUCGGGCUUCGGCCCGAAUCUCCCACCCUUUGUGAACAUACCUCUGUUGCUUUGGCGGCUCUUGCCGCGUGGAGGCCCUCAAAAGCCCCCCCGCGCGCUUCCGCCAGAGGACCUUCAAACUCCAGUCAGUAAACGUCAACGUCUGAAAAACAAGUUAAUAAACUAAAA
rnacentral:misc_RNA from 1 species